GUUUCUAUUAUUAAGUUAAACAGUUUUUUUUAGUAGUAACUUCUUAAGUGGCUAUGUAUGUUUGUUAUUAUACACAUGGCAGAAGUAGGUAUAAUAUGUGGGAGAGAUUUAUCGUUAAGGAGGUAGUUCGUGUAGUUUCAGUAGCAGCUAACAGCCGUCGAUACUUUAACAGGAACGUAUUUUUCAAACUGGUUUCCAAUAAUAGUGUGUUAUGUAUCGCGAUCAACAAUCCUCCAUUUCGUUUUAAUUACAUCGCCCUGAGUUUUGAUUGUGUUUUUAACGAGCCGUCCGACGCGCUGUAUUCGUUUAUUUCACGUUCAUGCGUUUCAAUUGUUUCGAUUCACGUAACCUGUGUACGCGUGGACUAUUGACGACGAUUUAAACUUGAUACGGAUAGUUUUAGCGUAUUCAAUUCACAGAACUUUAACGUUGACAGUUUUGUUGUAAACGAUAAUGACAAGUACUAAGUGUAGAACAAUAAUGUGAAAUGAGAGUAUAUAAAGAAAAUCAAAAAAGGAGUCGUCGGUGGACUCCGCGUUAGGUGAUAACAAGCUGUGACAAGCGAAGAAGAUGGUGGGGUCCGGGGAAGAACUCAGCGCUUCGAUAAAUUUCCUUUUAAAAAUAUUGGAUUUAGGGAACUAAAAUGUUUAAAAACUUCAGAAAGAUGAGAUGCUCCGUCUCUAAUUUUUAAGUGGGUUCAAGUAUCUCGUCACCCCCGGGACGAUCACUACUUUCAAUUAGAAGAAACGAGGAAAGGAAUGAGUAAUGAUAACUUAUUCAACUUGGUACAGAAAAACUGAGUCCUAAUUAAGACGAAGGAUUUCUCGAGUGUUAGUACCUGUGACGUGAACACUAUUUGCAAUGUCGUGUAUGUGGAGCAGGCAUCCAGAGGAAAUAACGAAACUGUCAAACUUCAAAGAAAACAAAGCAUCGAAUAGAUAUAUACUACACAAUGAAACAUUUAAACUUUGUAAUUAUAUCAAUAAAAUUUUAUUAAACAUG